rnacentral:rRNA from 1 species
UGGGGAAUAUUGCACAAUGGACGAAAGUCUGAUGCAGCAACGCCGCGUGAGGGAUGAAGGCCUUCGGGUUGUAAACCUCUUUCAGUAGGGAAGAAGCGAAAGUGACGGUACCUACAGAAUAAGCCCCGGCUAACUCCGUGCCAGCAGCCGCGGUAAUACGGAGGGGGCUAGCGUUGUUCGGAAUUACUGGGCGUAAAGCGCA